rnacentral:rRNA from 1 species
UACGGAGGGUGCGAGCGUUAAUCGGAAUUAUUGGGCGUAAAGGGUGCGUAGGUGGUUGAAUAAGUUAUCUGUGAAAUCCCCGGGCUUAACCUGGGACGGUCAGAUAAGACUGUUUGACUCGAGUACGGGAGAGGGUAGUGGAAUUUCCGGUGUAGCGGUGAAAUGCGUAGAGAUCGGAAGGAACACCAGUGGCGAAGGCGGCUACCUGGCCUGAUACUGACACUGAGGCACGAAAGCGUGGGGAGCAAACAGGAUUAGAUACCCGUAGU